AUGUUAUGUGAAACAAGAAGAGGUUAGUAGUCUCUCUGAAAAGAAUGGAAGAGGUUGCCUUUAUAUUACAUAUAUGGCGAAGGCAUUGCCAACCAUUCUGUCAUCUAAUUAUUUUUAUUU
ensembl:snRNA